ensembl:lncRNA
GAGAGUUUUGUCUGCUGCCUGGCGGAGCUCCGGCGCUUCCCCUCCGGGUCGCCGGACCCGCCUUUGAAAGUUCCCCCGCCCCGGUCCUCUCCGAGAUCUCCGGCAAUCCCUAGUCCCACGGGGCGGGCAACGGCAGCUGGGGGACGCCCCGCCCUCUGGGCUUCUGUCCGAGCCUCUGCCGGGAGCCCUGAAUGCUGGGCGUGGCCCCUCUGCUAAUGGCAGACAGAGAGUUUUGUCUGCUGCCUGGCGGAGCUCCGGCGCUUCUCCACCGGGUCGCCGGACCCGCCUUUGAAAGUUCCCCCGCCCCGGUCCUCUCCGAGAUCUCCGGCAAUCCCUAGUCCCACGGGGCGGGCAACGGCAGCUGGGAGACCUCCGUGCCCUCCGUGUCUCUCUCUGGGACCCUCCAGGCGCCCCGAGCACCAGGCCGGGCCUCCCCGCCAAUGGCGGGGAGAGACUCUCCCCGCGGGCUCAGGUGUGCAACUCCAAAGUUUCCCUCUGCGUUUAGGAGUAAUUGCGGGGGGUUUAAGUAGGGUUCUGGUCACCUGUUUCCACCGUCGCUCCUCUGUUGUGUUCUCGCUCCUGCCCUAGAUGUGUGUGGAUCCUCUGGGGGCGUCCGUUGGAAGAAAGCCGCUUGCGGGUACUAGGCUGCCCGUCGGGGUCGGAGAGUUUUCACCUAUUUCCACAUCCUCCCGGAGGAAAGUCCGUCCGCCUUCCGAUGUAUAGUCGCGUGGGUGUCUCAGACGUCCUGAGAUGCUGUCUGGCCCGGAGAGCUCUCCCACCCCUUCUGCCGUGUGAGGACACAGUGAGAAGACGGCUAUCUGCGAACAAGGACCCGGGCUCUCACCAGACAAUGAAUCUGCUGGUGCCUUGAUCUUGCACUUCUUAGGCUCCAGAACUGUGAGAAAUAAAUAUUUAUUGUUUAAGCCAUCCAGUCUAUGGUAGUUUGUUAUAACAGCCCCCAAAAGACUAAGACAUAAAGUGUCUAUGUCUUCGGGUUUUUUCUGAGGUUGGCAUUGGAUUUCCCUGGGCAGAAUCCUCCACAGUCCUGCUCAGAGUGUGUAGGUCUGCCUGUUGCUGUCCUCAAAGUGAGAUGGGAAACAUGGAAUAUGUAAAACCUCACCUAACUCUCCUGUGUUCCACAUGAUACCCCUGCUCUCAACUGGCAUCAUGUCCCUGUCCCCCUAUCCAGAGACUCUUUGUAUCAGCCUCCUCAGAAAAUAAAGCUCUAGUUUUCUGCUGAUAGGGGAGGGAUAGUCAUGGGAAUUACUGGGGGAACCUGCUAGAUUUGACUAUAGGGGAUCAGAUAGAGAUGGAGAAGGGAGGUGGGGCUUACAUUAACUGGUGCUCAGAUCUUGGGGGACCACAUUCCUGCUUGCAGCAGAGCCCAGGCAGUGAUCCCAGUUGGCAGCUCUGCCCAUCUGCAGAGCCAAGCUGAUGACCCCAUCUGGCCCGAGAGCUCAGCUGCAGUUCUGCCUGAUUUGGGUCCCAAGCCAAUGAGCCGUACCAGCUGUGGAGCUCAUUCUAUGACCAUCCAGGCAGGGAAGCAAAUUUGCAGCCUUGCACUACUGCUAUGUAUAGCCUCCAGUCCUGCUGACCAGGAAUCCUGGCCAGGGAACCUGGGCAGCCAGGGAGCCCAUCCUACAACCACACGUGGGCAGGGAGCUAAGCCAGCAGCCCUGCCCAGUUGUUAAGUAUAGCCUCUGGGCCUGCAUAACCAGAGAGCCAGAACAGUGACCCUGCCAGGAAACAUAGCCUGAGGCCUCGAGCAACCAGAAGUGAUUGCCAAGCUCUUUUAAUGGUCCUACCUGACCAGAGAGCACAGUCAGCGGCCCUGGUUGAAUGCAGAGCCCAGCCGGCAGGUCCACACAAACAUAGCGUCCAACCAGAAGCAACCCUCGCCCCCAAUCCCCGACCUCAGAGGGUAUCACACGCCGUUGUGAAAGGCUGAAAGCUUUUCCUCUAAGAUCACUUUCGCCACUUCUGUUCAACAUAAUCUUGGAAAUCCUAGCCAGAGCAGUCUGGCAAGAAAAAGAAAUAAAAGGCAUCCAAAUUGGAAAAGAAGAAGUAAAAUUCCCUCCGUUUGCAGACGACGUGAUCUUACAUGUAGCAAAUCCUAAAGACUCCACCAGAACGCUGUUGGAACUAAUAAAUGAAUUCAACAAAGCUGCAGGGUACAAAACCAACAUACAACAAUUGGUUGUAUUUCCAUACACUAAUAAUGAAUUACCUGAACAAGUAAUAAAGAAAGACAAUCCUGUUAACAAUAGCAUCAAAAGCAAUAAAAUACUUAGAAAUUAAUUUAACCAAGGAGGGGAAAGAUCUGUAGCUGAAACCUACAAGACUUUGAUUAAAGAAAUUGAGAAGACACAAAUAAAUGGAAAGAUACUUUGUGUUCACAGAUCAAAAGAAUUAAUAUCGUAAAAAUGUCCACACUACCCAAAGCCAUCAAUAGAGUCAAUGCAAUCCCUAUCAAGAUUCCAAUGACACUUUUUUAAAGAAAUAGGAAAAAUCCUAAAAUUCAUAUAGAACCACAAAAGAUCCCAAAUAUCCAUAGCCAUCCUGAGAAAGAACAAGCUGGAGGCAUCACACUUCCUGAUUUCAAACUAUAUUACAAAGCUAUAGUAAUCAAUACAGGAUGGUACUGGCAUAAAAAUAGAUACAUAGACCAAUGGAACUGAAUGAAAGUCCAGAAAUAAACCCACCCAUAUAAGGUUUAACUAAUAUUUUACAAGGGAGCCAAGAAUACUCAUUGGAGAAAAGAUAGUCUGUGUUGAGAAAAUUGGAUACUCACAUGCGAACAAUGAAACUGGACCUCUACCUUUCACCAUUCACAAAAAUUAACUCGAAAUGAAUUAAAGACUUAAAUGUAAGACCUGAACCCAUGAAACUCCUAGAAUAAAGCCUAAAGACAAAGCUCUUUGACAUUGGUCCUAGCACUGAUUUUGUGGAUAUGACACCAAAAGCAUGAACAGUAAAAGCAAAAAUAAACAAGUGGGACUACAUCAAAGUAAAAAGCCUCUGCACAACAAACAAAGUGAUUAACAAAAUGAAAAGGCAACCUAUGGGAUGGGAGAUAAGACUGAAGCAAGUGAUGCUUAUCUUAACAUCAACAACAGUGCUGUAAAGAAAAUACUCUCUGUUUCUUCUCUGUAUUACUCACACCACCUCACUUCUGGUCACCAAAUGUAUGGGUUUUUACCCCAUUCUGACCACUUCUCCAACACUAGCUGGUGUCCUGCAAUUCAAUUCAGUUGUGACACCAUCUCCCUGGAGUUGGCAUCAGACUCCACAAGUUAAGGGCUCAGGCCCACAAAACUGCCCCCACUUCAGACACCAACCACAAGUCCCAGGUUGUCACCUGUACUUCUCAUCAACCAGCUAUAAACUGGGGCUCCUGUGGCCCCCUCCUUGGGUUCCAUAAUUUGCUAGAAUGGCUCACAGAACUCAGGGAAACACUUACUUAUAUUUAUGCUUAUUAUAUAAUAAAAGAUUCAAUAAAGGAUACAGAUGAGCAACCAGAUGGAAGAGAGACACAGGACAAAGUUUGGGAGAAUCCCCAGCACAGGAGCUUCUUCCCCCGUGGAGCUGGGGCGUGCCACCCUCCUGGCACACGGAUAUGUUCUCCAAUCUGGAAGCUCUCCGAACUCUGCAGUUUAGGGAUUUUCAUGGAGGCUUCCUCAUGUAGGUAUGAUACAUUGUUAACUAAAUUUUCAGCCCCUCCCCCCUCCCCAGAGGAUGGGUUGAAAGUUCCAAGCUUCUAAUUACGGCUUGGUCUUUCUGGUGACCAGCCCCCAUACUGAAGCUAUCUAGGAGCCCACCCAGUGUUGCCUCAUUAGAGUAAAAGACACUCCUAUAACCCAGGAAAUUCAAAGGGACUUAGGAAGUCAGUGUCACUAACCAGGGUCAAUAACCAAAUAUUAGAACAAAAGAUGUUCCUAGCACCUUUAUUGCUAGGAAAUUGCAAAGGUUUUAGGAGCUCUGGCCAGGAGCUAAGGACAAAGACCAAAAUAUAUAUAUUUCUUAUUAUAUCACAAUGGCUAACACUUGUUAAGUAAUUUCUAUGUAACAGACACUCUACCAAGUACUUUACUUGUUUUACUUUCAUCAAAGAAAAACCAAACCUGAAGAGCAGUUAAAAGUAGUAAAAACAAAGCAGUCUAGGUGCCCAUCGACAGACGAAAGGAUAAAGAAGAUGUGAUAUAUAUACACAAUGGAAUACUACUCAGCCGUUAAGAAAUUAUGAAAUCCAGCCAUUUGUGACAACAUGGAUGGACUUUGAGGGUAUUAUGCUAAGUGAAAUAAGUCAGAGGGAGAAAGUCAAAUACCAUAUGAUCUCACUCAUAAGUAGAAGAUAAAAACAACAACAAACAAACACAUAGCAACAGAGGUUGGAUUGGUGGUUACCAGAGGGGAGGAGGGGAGGGAGGAGGGCGAAAGGAGUGAUUAGGCACAUGUGUAUGGAGAUGGAUGGUAAUUAGUCUUUGGGUGGUGAACAU